UACGGGGGGUGCAAGCGUUGUUCGGAUUUACUGGGCGUAAAGGGCGCGUAGGCGGUCAGUACAAUUCAGUUGUGAAAUCUCCGGGCUUAACCCGGAAAGGUCAACUGAUACUGUGCGACUAGAGUGCGGAAGGGGCAACUGGAAUUCUCGGUGUAGCGGUGAAAUGCGUAGAUAUCGAGAGGAACACCUGCGGCGAAGGCGGGUUGCUGGGCCGACACUGACGCUGAUGCGCGAAAGCCAGGGGAGCGAACGGG
rnacentral:rRNA from 1 species